UACGUAGGGUGCAAGCGUUAAUCGGAAUUACUGGGCGUAAAGCGUGCGCAGGCGGUUAUAUAAGACAGUUGUGAAAUCCCCGGGCUCAACCUGGGAACUGCAUCUGUGACUGUAUAGCUAGAGUACGGUAGAGGGGGAUGGAAUUCCGCGUGUAGCAGUGAAAUGCGUAGAUAUGCGGAGGAACACCGAUGGCGAAGGCAAUCCCCUGGACCUGUACUGACGCUCAUGCACGAAAGCGUGGGGAGCAAACGA
rnacentral:rRNA from 1 species